GACAGAUUCAGCAGCCAACCAAGGAGCAUACCUUCAUUUGAUUUCCUUAAGGCAAAAGCACUGGCUAAACAAAGGGAGACUAUCUGGGAGAAGGUGUUUUCACCCUUUCAAGCUGGGGUGCUUUCACCACCGGGAAGUGCCACGCUGCUUUCCACGCUGGAACAAGGACUCACUUCCUAAGGCCUUGGUUCCCCAGGAGCUGUUGGCCAGAAGCCUCCCUCGGUGCCCUGCCUCAUGGGCCUCUUCGUUGAGCAUCUCACAACGUGGCAGCUUACUUCAUCAGUGCAAGCAAGCAAGAGCAAGAGAGAGGACUCACCAGAGACAGUAAUAGCAAAACAGAAGGCACAGUCUUUCGUAAUCCAAUCACAGAUGUGACAUCCCAUCACUGUUGCCACAUCCUGUGAGUUAGAAGUAAGUCAUUAGGUCCAGCCCACACUCAAGGAGAUUACACAAGGAUGUAAAGACCAGCAAGAGGAUCAUUGGGAGCUAUUUUAGAAGCAGCCUACUCUAAGAUAAUAAUAACAUCUAGGGUUUGUUUAAAAUUUAAAUUAGAG
rnacentral:lncRNA from 10 species